CGGGAAAAGCUCAAAUUUAAAAUCUGGCAGUCUUUGGCUGUCCGAGUUGUAAUCUAUAGAGGCGUUUUCCGCGCCGGUCCGCGUCCAAGUCCCUUGGAACAGGGUAUCAAAGAGGGUGACAAUCCCGUGCUUGACGCGACCGCCGGUGCUAUGUGAUACGUCUUCUAC
rnacentral:rRNA from 1 species